rnacentral:rRNA from 1 species
UACAGAGGGGGCAAGCGUUAUUCGGAAUUAUUGGGCGUAAGGGGCGCGUAGGCGGCCUGACAAGUGGAUGGUGAAAUCCCUCGGCUUAACCGAGGAACUGCCGUCCAAACUGCUUCGCUUGAGACCGGGAGAGGUGAGUGGAAUUCCCAGUGUAGCGGUGAAAUGCGUAGAUAUUGGGAGGAACACCAGUGGCGAAGGCGGCUCACUGGACCGGUACUGACGCUGAUGCGCGAAAGCGUGGGGAGCAAACGGG